rnacentral:rRNA from 1 species
CUACGGGGGGCUGCAGUGGGGAAUAUUGGACAAUGGGGGAAACCCUGAUCCAGCAAUGCCGCGUGCGUGAAGAAGGCCUGCGGGUUGUAAAGCACUUUCGGUUGGGAGGACUGCUUCUAGCACUAAUAUUGUUGGAAGUUGACGUUACCUUCAGAAGAAGCACCGGCUAACUCCGUGCCAGCAGCCGCGGUAAUACGGAGGGUGCAAGCGCUAAUCGGAAUUACUGGGCGUAAAGCGCGCGUAGGCGGCUAGAUCAGUCGGGUGUGAAAGCCCCGGGCUUAACCUGGGGACUGCAUCCGAUACUGUCUAGCUUGAGUACAGGAGAGGAGAGUGGAAUUCCACAUGUAGCGGUGAAAUGCGUAGAUAUGUGGAGGAACACCAAUGGCGAAGGCAGCUCUCUGGCCUGAUACUGACGCUGAGGUGCGAAAGCGUGGGGAGCAAACAGGAUUAGAUACCCUUGUAGUC